CCUCGAGUCUAACAGCCCAGUUCUGGGUCUUCUCCUCUAAGCCAGCUGGUCUGGCUUGAUAUCGGGUUUUUUUCGCCCUUCUUUUUGUUCGUCGCGUCUCUUUUUUGUUGUCGAUAUUAAAGGAGCGACUGAGCCGAAACCACAGCUGGAGCUGUCGGAGACACUUCCAGGUGAAGAGAGAUACCGCGCCGGUGUUAAGUAAAACCUACGGACCUGGAGCCCCUAGGGAUUCACUAAUGGAGAGCGGACACGCUGGGCGACAAAACUGACACACUGCACAGAUUGAGGAACAAUCUGAAGGCUGGAGACAGAAAAAUAUCAAAGUUGAUAGAAGGAGACGUGCAAGUGAUUGAUAAUCACUCUCUCAGUCAACUCUAGUCAGGACCAACGAGAGAAGGCAGAGCUCAACUUUUAUCAGACUCGGUUCUUUACCCAAGAAGCAUUGAACGCGGGAGAAGAGACGUGGUCUUUGGCCAUUUCACUGCCCUGGAAGUAGAUUAUAGCACACGUAAUUAAUGUAUCAGCUCUGAAGUUCAAACAGAUUGUACAUUUUGUAACGGCUUUUUCGCGCGUAGUAGUCUACUUUCCCUUCAUCCAAAAAGAAGAGGACAAGGAUCGCGAAAACGACCGUGGCAGGGGUCUGAAACAGAUGCGGAGUAAA